UCCGUAGGCGGGCAGCUAAGUCAGUGGUGAAAGUCUGCAGCUCAACUGUAGAAUUGCCAUUGAUACUGGUUGUCUUGAAUUAUUAUGAAGUGGUUAGAAUAUGUAGUGUAGCGGUGAAAUGCAUAGAUAUUACAUAGAAUACCAAUUGCGAAGGCAGAUCACUAAUAAUAUAUUGACGCUGAUGGACGAGAGCGUGGGGAGCGAACAGGAUUAGAUACCCUGGUAGUCC
rnacentral:rRNA from 1 species